AUUCUCCAUAAAGUGCAAUCCGCACGCAAUGUAGGAGCUGCGAUUAGGUGAAUGAACCGGGUAUUUUCAAACUUUCCUCCACUGGACACCCCACCACGACUCGAGAACGAGAAUGGAAGCGCCGGUUAUAGGCAGAAGUUGUCACUGCGCUUCAUUGACAUCCCACGGGAAUUCUUCAGCAGCGCAGUAUCUUCUUUGGCCAAACGGACGUGCUGUGCUCCACUGGUUGGAGUGGAGGAAAAGUUUUCAGUAGGCGAUCGUUCGAGAAUACGGGGGUAAGUGUUUCUGUUGCGCCGCAGGAAGCACAGAGUGAACUGCAUCAGUGUCCGCCUUUGAUGGCGCAUCCGUCCAGCCACCGUGACACAUCCUGCGUACGGUGCUCCAGUAACAUGUGUCUGACGCAGCGACAUAAACCACGCCCACGAACACGUGGUGGACAUGAUCUUGUAGCUGAAACUCGCUUAUGAGAGUGCUGUCCGAGCAGGUGGUGGUGGAUCAGCAAAAAAGCGUCAUCCAGUUAGCAAAAAACAUGCGGACUAAUGUCGCAGUCAUUUUCGCGAGAUGCAAAUCGCUUCCUAAUUGCCGGCAAUGCGCACCUGCAGCGGAACCCACCGACACCGCGAGCUGCAAUUGCACAGAGUUGGUAAAACGACGCACGAUAUGGCUGUCAUUGUCUGCUUGCUGUAGGCGAACAAGCGCUGCACGUGAGCCACUCCGGUGGACAAUGUUGUAAGCAGUGAAUUCGUCCUGCGCGAUGAACAUCCGCUUUGAAAACAGUAGAAUGCGCUUUCCCUUAACAAUCCCUUAGACAACGACGGCGGUGAUGACGAUCCUAUAUAGUCAACAGCACUAUUUCUGCUGCGCCGUUCGACACGAAUUUAUACGACAUCCCGUUUGUUGGGUUCUGAAUACUUAUUCAACAGGUGUAAGCGAGAGAUACAUGGAUAGUAACGUGAUCUGCCGUUGUGUGUUAUUGCAUUGGUGCAUAUCUAUGUCUAUGUCAUGUAUUUUAUGUUACAUUGGCGACGCCAUUUUUACACCAGCGAAGAUAUGUUCAAACUGAUAAAACUGGGCCAUUAAUGAAAGUAGUACAACGUCCCAGAAUUCCUACGUAAUGAUAGCUGCUACUACGAAAGCACUGGAGAAUGGGGGCUGAUUUGGAGAGUAAGGGGAGGCGGGUGCAAUCUAACACAAUGUAUCAAAGUGCGAGCUGUCACGAUGAUAGAACGCGUGAAACUGGCACGUGGCACAUACGCCAAACAUCUCCAAGGGCUAGUCGGCUUUGGCCCAAGAGGAGUAUGCGUGCGAGUGUGGCCCUGUCCUUCUGCUUCCGGUCACGCAAGUGCACGGUCACGGAAUGGCGAGAUCCGUCGGAGCGCCAUCGGCGACGUUUAGUCGCGGAACCAGGGUUGCUGACGAAGCAGAUGAAGAUUGCGAGAUUAUUUCGCCGCACCAGCGGAUAGAUCGGCUUGCUAUUAACCCAAUAUUUUUGCAUGGACACGUGCGCGUUAAGUCCUUCCGUGCGGAAGAUUCCCUAGACAAGUGGGCCAAGGUUGGUGCGCUGCAAGAAGUCGUGGGGCGGGGGGCACGUAUAAUUAACCACGUCUGUGCAGUGCUGCUCGGCACUGCGGAAGCGACGAAGAAGCUCGCUGAUCUGAAGGAACUACAGGUGAAGGGUCGCCGGUGCCUUGUCAUGGAACCCUUUCGAGCAGCAGGUGAAGGUUCGACUGCCAACGGCUCUGGCUGCCUUCGGCAAGGUCACCGAAGUGACGCGCUGGUGGGUCGAAGGCGGCAGCGACAAUGUGUCUACCACCAGCGCCUAGCAGCUAAAGCUUAAGACUGGUUUUAAAGUUGACGACUUGCCGCACCAGAUCCGGGUUGUCCGCAAACUGGCCUUAGUGGUCGCGCCUGGCUGACCCACUGUGUGCCUGCAUUGCCAGGGACCCGCUCACAUUCGCCAAGGCUACAAGGUGACGCGAUGUUGCUGAUGCCUAUGGUUGGGGAAUGUCAACGCUCAGUGCGCCUUUUUGCACGCCACGGUAACGGUCUAUAGCGGGAUGCAAAACGAGUACGCCAUGGACGCCAAGGAGGCGGAACACGAGGCAAGUGGCGUCGCAGACGCGACGUCACCAGUGAUGACAGGAGUGGCGUCUCCUUCAGAAAACAGGCGGAACCGGGUAACCGAAGACCACAUCGAGGGAGCACUGCUGGCCAAUUUAGCGAAGACUGAAAGACAGCGAAAGUUGUCGAGUACCAGUCAUGGCUGUGAAAGUUGAUCUCACGAACGAGGGCCAACCGGCGGAUGGCACCACUCUUCAGUACCCCCGUAUGCAGAAAUGCAACUUAAGUUGAAGCCCAUGCUUGACUUGAUCCGAGUGACGCCUAUCGGGAACGCGCCGAAGGAAACGCAGUGAGCUUCUUUGGGCACGUUAGCGCCAGGCGUCAUCUAAAUCAAGUCAAGCAUGUGCUUCGACUUAAGUUGCAUUUCUGCAUACGGGGGUUAGUGCUGGCGUCGUCGUACAGAUCAAGAGGCCUCGAUAUGGUGCGGCAAGCAUGGUAGACGGAACGACUAUCAAGGAGCUCUUGAGAAACCGCAAAAAAAGGUGACUCUACGAAGGUGCGCAACCGUGAUGACCAAGCUUCAUGCCCCAACAGAACGGAGGCCUCGGUCGCCUACAGUGCUUCCCGCUAUCGUUGUGCUUGGGUGUUACUUGCUUUGCUGGGCAUAACUUCGCCCAAUAAUGAGUUAAAUGUGUCAGUCACAGUUUUGCCACUGAAUCGUUCUUGACCGUCACUACAACGUGGAAAUUCCGAUCAGCGGGUCAAGCAGUGGGUGGACAGUGGAGCUAGUUUCGGUAUCGGCAAUAAAGCGUCUCCAUGACACUGGUAGCCAAAAGAAAAUUCAAUAGCCUUUGCAUAUGUGGCUCUAUCUUUCCAACUUACCUAACGAUAAAAUGAAGUGACGCAACAAUGUGUAGAAAUAAAACGUGCUUUUGGCUAUUUUCUUUUUCGGCGUCUUAUAUGUUUAUUUGGUCGCUUCAUUUGUUGCGCCAAGCGGCGGCACUUUCGCUCUUAUCGCUUCGGCUGCCAUUCUCUACGUCUGCUGCUGCCGUUUUUUAUGUAGUACGUGCACGUUUUUUCGUAUGCUCUGCAGUUUAAAACUUUCUGUGCCUGCGAAUGUUCCGGCAAUGUCGGAAAAACUCGGGGAAGGAUACAAGACUUGCUGCGUGGCUGUGUAAUGUGGCAACUCGGGGAGCAACACAAGGGCAACAUUCCGUUUUCUAGCGGACGGGAGGGGAUAGACAAGGGCACAAUCGGAAGGCGCUGUCUCCAUUGAAGAGCUUACGCCUGCCGAGGCCACGGGACACCGAGGAGCCUAAGUAACAAAGCGGCCGCUGCCGGCAGAGAGCAGCGCGCAUGCACCUCUCGACGCAUGGAUGUGGUCUCUCCAAGGCCCACCUUGCGCGCGCGAACCCAGAACGCACGCAAUCAGGAGCCUCGAAUCCCACCAAAAAGUCGGCCAAUGGGGUAAAAAGAAGUCCAAGUUCAAGAAGAAGAAGUUCAAGAAGUCCAAGAGCACCGCAUCUGGAUUGAAAAAACGGAUGGAGCCUUGGAGCCUACCAACGCGGAGGUCGAUGGGGCCUGUUUCAAGGACGGCGAGGCAGCGCUGACUGCUGUCACCAAGAGGUCUGGUGCACGGUCGCGGUGAUCCUCUUCGCCAGCCGCGCAGAAGUCCGAGUCUGCUGCGGCGUUGCCCCCUCACGUGCCGUAUCAGCAUACCUUGCGGUGAUCGAGUUCCUAACCAAACUCAUUAAGGAGGUCCGAUAAGCACGAUAGUUACCAGCCAUUAGGUUGUCUACGGCACUCCCAAGGAUAAUGAGCCACAAAAUUCGGGUGCUUGAUUACGUGAGCAUAUUGUGAUUAUGUCAUAGGGUCUACCGUGGUCCUGGUUCGAAGCGGACGCUCUUCGCCGCAUACCUUAUUGAAAAAGUGCUUGUCGAGACUGUGAGCAAAGUGAAUCUUUGACAGGCAGCCGAAAAGACCACUUGGCGACUUCGGGAAAAAUUUGCAACAUAUCGGCUUGUUCACCGGUGCCCAAAGUUUAUAUGGAUCAUAUGCUCCCUGCAAGGGCACUGAUUCACGAUGAAUCAACCACUUGUCUGCAGGUCAAAUAACUCUCCAGGGCUUCUCUCCUUGAACACAGUGUUGCAACACUGCGCACAACAUAAAUUGAUUUCGGUUGAACGAAGGAGAGAGAGCACGAGCUUGGUGCUGAAGAUGACGACGCUAUGAGGCUUCUCUGCUGUGCCAUUUCUUGGUCAUGUGGCUCAGCUUAAAAGACCACCGAUGGAGUUGGGCAUCGCUGAAUGCGGACAGCUUUAUCGCUAGAACUUCGUCCCAGCAAAUUCGUGCAAACAAACUGGCUGUUGUGUGCAACGAGACAUAGCAAGAAUGCAUGUGACGGUGUUGGCGGUGUCAACCUCCG